AGGUGUGGUGUCAAAUAUGUGACUACUAUCGGCAGUGGAUACAUCUAAGCCGGUAAGCAUGAGCACAUCGGCAAGAGUGGGAGAAGCAGGGCCAUGGCCGAAAACAAAAGCAUUAAGUGUGUGUGACCAGAAAUAUGAUGUAGCAAUCAGCAGUGAUUCAUUCCUAUGCAUGUCAACAAUAGAUAGUCUAAUGCACUGGUCCAGUUUUCGCUCGCCCCAUUGAACUUCAUUUGAAUGACUAACUCUCAAGAACCAAUCCUUCCAUCCCUUGGUAGGACUGGGCCAAGAGCGGAAGGUAUCUUUCCACAGAUCUAGAGAAAAGUUCUCAGCUCUAAAGGAGAUUCUGUUUGUCUCUGCAUUGAUCAGAUCGGUAGGAUCUGGGUUCCCUAGCGGACCGAGACAUUGAAGGUGUGGUUGAUCGGUAGGGAUGACAAUUCUAUUGGACAGAUCCUAAUAGUUUUUGGGGGUAAAAAGAAGAACAAAAGAAAAAAAAGGGUAUUCAGUAAGAUGAACUGCAGAUGAACAGGACUGCAGUAAAAAAACAAGAGAGAAGUAGAACUGACCUCAGGCACGAUGAAGUUGACGGCCAUCUCCUAGUAGGGGAGAAGAUUCAGAACUUGGGGGUUGUUGGAGAAAGUUCUUGUUGAAGUUCUCGGAGCUCUCGAACAGCGCCGCCGCCAGAAAAGCAGAGUUGAGGCUAUAGAAUGAUGCAAUGGAGAAGGAGUACCCGAGAAGGAACUAUUUAUAGGACAAAACGGGCAAGGGAAAAUCUGACUUAUCUCUUCGCCGUAUCCGUGAAAUCCGAGGAUACUCAGGUGGAUAUGGUAACUGUUCGCACGGUAAUCAAGGGAUUGCGCAGGUGAUUUGACAGGAAGUGGUCAUAAUCUGGAGAUAUUUCACUGUGCGGGAUUUCCUGGUCGGUCCAUCGGCAGCUCCUUCUAACGGUAGUAUUGCUGAUGGGCAAAUAAAGUGGAGAUGUCCAGUUUGGGAGGUUGAGGAAUUCGAGGGAUCUGCGGAAGAAUCGGGCUAGAGUUGUUCGAUUUCAACGGUCGGUUACCAGAUUGAGAGGAUUAAUUGCGGAAAGGCAUCAUUACUGCAGAGAAUUUCGGAGCAUUAAUGAUUUUAUACUCCGAAAUUAGGGGGCAUGUGUUGACACCGUUUUUGGACACAUACCCAGGAUCGGUAGAGUAUAAAUCGACAAGAUAGGGCAACAGUAACUGGUCUGCAGGGGAGUUGCCGAUGAAGGGACGGCUGGAUGUGAUUAAGUCUAUGGGUUGUGACGCGUUCAUGCCGAUGGUCAGCGUUAGCCUUGUCGAUGGUUAAGGUGAGG
rnacentral:lncRNA from 1 species